CCCAAAUCCCGGGCAACAAAACCAAACCGACGUUAACACUUGUUAAGCGACACCGUUGUCACGUCUCAAGAGUUUUACGUCGUCGAAUGUUUCAAGUCGGGCUGCUUCCACGGACAACAAGAUUGGAGAGGAGGCGGGACCAAAGGAAUGGAACGUUUCCUGUGGAUGAACACUAGAGGGAGCUGUCGUGUUGUGGCUUGAGGCUUGACGCUGGCUUGCGAAACGCCAGCUGAACAACUCGCCUCCCGAGCCCGACUUGACUCGUCUUCACGCGUGGCCGAAGAUCUUAAGGAGGCACGUCUGCACGUCGUCGGCUCACUCCGCGCCACAGAAUUUUCGGCCGGUGCGACGUAUACUCCGGAGCGACUUAUACUCCGAAAAAUACGG